UUUGAAUUUUGGAGCGAAGAACAGAACCUCACGGAGCUCCCUGCUGCAGUGACGGGAGAGGCUGCUUCCUGAGCCCUCGGAGCCACAGUGGGCUGGAGCACCAGCAGCCACUGGAGCGAGGAGGGAAAUGUUCCUGCUGCUGUCAGAGACGCCGUGUUCUCACCUCACCAGCCCACUUCCUACACCUUCAAAAGUCUGCUUUGCUCGCUGACACGUCGAGGAACACGACUGGGCGGAAAGCUGGAAGGACCUCCACCUCCCAGGGGCCGCACCUUCAGCCCAGGGGUGGCACCGGGCUGGGCAUCACGAUCACCCCUCUGUCACCCACUCCCACCAUCUGGUCCAAGGGACACUUCUGCACAAGCCUCAGGCCACAGCACUGCCAAGCAAGGGCGAAUGCAGCCUCCUGGUCCUGGACAGCAGGCAGGUCAAGGCCACUGCCGUCGUCAUCCCAAGCCUCAUAGGAAACACGGACUGGGGGCGUGGAGGGUGGUGUUCAGUUCAGUACAAAGUAAGAAAAAGCACAGAAUGUAGACUCCAGCCAGGCCGAGUGACUCCAGGCACUGUGCUUAACAAGAAACACUGUUGCAGGCAAGCCACCCGGAGGAGGGCCAUGUGACAUGCAGACAAGCCACUGUCCCAAAUGGAAAAGGCCCAGGAGGUCACAGGGAGACACCGACUCAUUCUACGCCACUGCAGAAGACAGGACGGGCAGGGUGUCACAGUUGGGAGCUGAGCUGCUGUGAAGGGAGCCUCCCAGUAGACAGGACACCUGGUCCCCUCAUGCAGCUCUGGGCAGUAUGGACACCUCUCAUCGAUGAAAUGGGAUCCGCCUCCUUUCUGAUCAUGCUGGCCUGUCUUCCUGACUGCCUCCAUGCCGGACUCUGUGCCUCUGGAAUCCUAAGUCAAAAUAAACCCUUU